ACGAACGCUGGCGGCGUGCUUAACACAUGCAAGUCGAGCGGUAAGGCUCCUUCGGGAGUACACGAGCGGCGAACGGGUGAGUAACACGUGAGUAAUCUGCCCUUCACUUCGGGAUAACCACCGGAAACGGUGGCUAAUACCGAAUACGACCAGUCUUCGCAUGAGGUGCUGGUGGAAAGUCUUUUUGGUGAAGGAUGUGCUCGCGGCCUAUCAGCUUGUUGGUGGGGUAAUGGCCUACCAAGGCUUCGACGGGUAGCCGGCCUGAGAGGGUGACCGGCCACACUGGGACUGAGACACGGCCCAGACUCCUACGGGAGGCAGCAGUGGGGAAUAUUGGACAAUGGGCGAAAGCCUGAUCCAGCAACGCCGCGUGAGGGAUGACGGCCUUCGGGUUGUAAACCUCUUUCAGUACCGACGAAGCGCCCUGUCGGGUGGUGACGGUAGGUACAGAAGAAGGACCGGCCAACUACGUG
rnacentral:rRNA from 1 species